rnacentral:rRNA from 1 species
UACGUAGGGUCCGAGCGUUGUCCGGAAUUAUUGGGCGUAAAGGGUUCGUAGGCGGUUUGUCGCGUCGGGAGUGAAAACCUACAGCUUAACUGUGGGCUUGCUUUCGAUACGGGCAGACUUGAGGCAUGCAGGGGAGAACGGAAUUCCUGGUGUAGCGGUGAAAUGCGCAGAUAUCAGGAGGAACACCGGUGGCGAAGGCGGUUCUCUGGGCAUGUUCUGACGCUGAGGAGCGAAAGUGUGGGGAGCGAACAGG